AUUGAACGCUGGCGGCAUGCCUUACACAUGCAAGUCGAACGGCAGCACGGGAGCAAUCCUGGUGGCGAGUGGCGAACGGGUGAGUAAAGUAUCGGAACGUGCCCAGUCGUGGGGGAUAACGUAGCGAAAGUUACGCUAAUACCGCAUACGAUCUAUGGAUGGAAGCGGGGGAUCGCAAGACCUCGCGCGAUUGGAGCGGCCGAUAUCAGAUUAGGUAGUUGGGGGGUAAAGGCUCACCAAGCCGACGAUCUGUAGCUGGUCUGAGAGGACGACCAGCCACACUGGGACUGAGACACGGCCCAGACUCCUACGGGAGGCAGCAGUGGGGAAUUUUGGACAAUGGGCGAAAGCCUGAUCCAGCCAUGCCGCGUGCAGGAUGAAGGCCUUCGGGUUGUAAACUGCUUUUGUACGGAACGAAAAGGUUUGGCCUAAUAAGCUGAGCUCAUGACGGUACCGUAAGAAUAAGCACCGGCUAACUACGUGCCAGCAGCCGCAGUAA
rnacentral:rRNA from 1 species